CACCAUAUGGAGAGUUGAGGCUUUGGGGUAUUUGGUAAGACCAGAGAACAGAGAUAUAGAGACGACACGCAGAAAGGGGGAUUUGAAAAGAUGGCAACACCAGCAGCUUCGUCCGCGGCAGAAGCUCCAAAGAUUGUGUGGAACGAAGCCAAGCGAAGGUUCGAAUCGGAGGACCAGAAGGCGUACAUAGAGUAUGUGCUCAGGGAAAAUGGAAAAGUGAUGGACUUGGUGCACACCUUCGUCCCAUCUUCCAAGAGAGGCUUGGGCUUGGCUUCCCAUCUCUGCGUCGCGGCCUUCAACCACGCCAAGUCCAAUUCCAUCUCUGUCAUCCCCACCUGCUCUUACGUCUCUGUCAGUAAACUACCUUCUCUCUCUCUCUCUCUCUCUCUCUCUCUCUCUCUCUCUCUCGGUUUCUCUCAAAAUUUGAUCUUUAUGGAUUAACUUUGAUUUUUAUUUUUUUUGGGUUUUCUAAUCUGAUUCAUUUCUGGGUCCUAGUGGUGAUUUUUGGCCCUGUUUGUUUCUAUUCACUAAGACUUUUUUCUCCAGAACUGGAAAUGGUUUGUUUCUGCCUUUUGUGUGUGCGUGCAUGUUGUAAUUUGCCUCAUUGGCCUAUGAGACUGUUUUUAUCUAUUGUUCAUUUUGAUGAUUAAUUCAUAGGGAAAACAAAUGUUUUUGUGGAGACUGUUGAAAAAGUACUCUCUGGUUUUGGGUCUUCCUCUCUUUUGUUUUCUAUUCUGGGUUGACAUAAUUUCUUUGUUUUCUUUUUUCUGUGUUGGCAGGACACUUUUCUCCCGCGGAACCCUUCCUGGAAUUCUGUUUUGUACUCAGGACCAGGAGAGAUGAAGUCUAGUAUAUGAUUUACUGCAGUUAUAGUUUAAUGGGAUUUAGUAAAAUGCUUGUAAGCCUGUAGCUGGGUGUUCUAUUUCAACUGGAAAAAAGUUUAUUUGCUUUACUAAUACGAUAUCAUUUACAAAUAAAUAUGCACCGUUGAUGUUAUG
rnacentral:lncRNA from 1 species